rnacentral:rRNA from 1 species
UUGAACGCUGGCGGCAUGCCUUACACAUGCAAGUCGAACGGUAGAGGAGCAAUCCUCGAGAGUGGCGAACGGGUGAGUAAUGUAUCGGAACGUGCCCAGUAGUGGGGGAUAGCCCGGCGAAAGCCGGAUUAAUACCGCAUGAGACCUGAGGGUGAAAGCGGGGGACUCGCAAGAGCCUCGCGCUACUGGAGCGGCCGAUAUCAGAUUAGCUAGUUGGUGGGGUAAAAGCUCACCAAGGCGACGAUCUGUAGCGGGUCUGAGAGGAUGAUCCGCCACACUGGAACUGAGACACGGUCCAGACUCCUACGGGAGGCAGCAGUGGGGAAUUUUGGACAAUGGGGGCAACCCUGAUCCAGCCAUGCCGCGUGAGUGAAGAAGGCCUUCGGGUUGUAAAGCUCUUUCAGCCGGGAAGAAAACGCACUCUCUAAUACAGGGUGUGGAUGACGGUACCGGAAUAAGAAGCACCGGCUAACUACGU